rnacentral:lncRNA from 1 species
GUUGUUCUACAGCAUUCACUAUACGAAGAAAUAGUGGUCGAUGCAUCCUAAACCUAUGGUAUAAAAAAUAAGGCAUUACUAAUACAUAAACUACACAUACUAACUAGUAAAAAUGAAUAGACCAUUACCUUCGUCGAAAAACACUUGGACCAUACGUGGGAUGUUCUGCAAAAUAAUCUUGAUACAGUCUUGUGUGCCCAGCCUCUCUAUCCCGAUAUAUGUAUACACGGCCUAGUACGGACCCACCCGGCUUUCUUUGUGAGGCACUUUGUACGAUUUGAGACGCGGCAAUUAUGACCUCAUCGUCAACGUCCCAUGAUGAUUCAUCCAAAACUCGCGAUGAAAGUAAUCGGCUUUGACUCAUACCAAAUGUUGAUAUGAACUGUAAAUACAUAAUGAUAAACUUACGUGGAUGAAUUAUAUAUAUGUGUAAAGAAAUAGAAUCAUUACGCCUAUUUACCGUACGAUUGCGACGGCGGCGGCAAUAGG